rnacentral:rRNA from 1 species
UACGAAGGGGGCUAGCGUUGUUCGGAAUUACUGGGCGUAAAGCGCACGUAGGCGGAUUGUUAAGUCGGGGGUGAAAUCCUGAGGCUCAACCUCAGAACUGCCUUCGAUACUGGCAAUCUCGAGUCCGGAAGAGGUUGGUGGAACAGCUAGUGUAGAGGUGAAAUUCGUAGAUAUCGGGAGGAACACCGGUGGCGAAGGCGGCGACCUGGGUCGAGACUGACGCUGAGGCGCGAAAGCGUGGGGAGCAAACAGG